GACGAACGCUGGCGGCGUGCUUAACACAUGCAAGUCGAACGGAAAGGCCCUGCUUUUGUGGGGUGCUCGAGUGGCGAACGGGUGAGUAACACGUGAGUAACCUGCCCUUGACUUUGGGAUAACUUCAGGAAACUGGGGCUAAUACCGGAUAGGAGCUCCUGCUGCAUGGUGGGGGUUGGAAAGUUUCGGCGGUUGGGGAUGGACUCGCGGCUUAUCAGCUUGUUGGUGGGGUAGUGGCUUACCAAGGCUUUGACGGGUAGCCGGCCUGAGAGGGUGACCGGCCACAUUGGGACUGAGAUACGGCCCAGACUCCUACGGGAGGCAGCAGUGGGGAAUAUUGCACAAUGGGCGGAAGCCUGAUGCAGCAACGCCGCGUGCGGGAUGACGGCCUUCGGGUUGUAAACCGCUUUCGCCUGUGACGAAGCGUGAGUGUCGGUAAUGGGUAAAGAAGCACCGGCUAACUACGUGCCAGCAGCCGCGGUGAUACGUAGGGUGCGAGCGUUGUCCGGAUUUAUUGGGCGUAAAGGGCUCGUAGGUGGUUGAUCGCGUCGGAAGUGUAAUCUUGGGGCUUAACCCUGAGCGUGCUUUCGAUACGGGUUGACUUGAGGAAGGUAGGGGAGAAUGGAAUUCCUGGUGGAGCGGUGGAAUGCGCAGAUAUCAGGAGGAACACCAGUGGCGAAGGCGGUUCUCUGGGCCUUUCCUGACGCUGAGGAGCGAAAGCGUGGGGAGCGAACAGGCUUAGAUACCCUGGUAGUCCACGCUGUAAACGGUGGGUACUAGGUGUGGGGUCCAUUCCACGGGUUCCGUGCCGUAGCUAACGCUUUAAGUACCCCGCCUGGGGAGUACGGCCGCAAGGCUAAAACUCAAAGGAAUUGACGGGGCCCCGCACAAGCGGCGGAGCAUGCGGAUUAAUUCGAUGCAACGCGUAGAACCUUACCUGGGUUUGACAUGGAUCGGGAGUGCUCAGAGAUGGGUGUGCCUCUUUUGGGGUCGGUUCACAGGUGGUGCAUGGCUGUCGUCAGCUCGUGUCGUGAGAUGUUGGGUUAAGUCCCGCAACGAGCGCAACCCUUGUUCACUGUUGCCAGCACGUUAUGGUGGGGACUCAGUGGAGACCGCCGGGGUCAACUCGGAGGAAGGUGGGGAUGACGUCAAGUCAUCAUGCCCCUUAUGUCCAGGGCUUCACGCAUGCUACAAUGGCUGGUACAGAGAGUGGCGAGCCUGUGAGGGUGAGCGAAUCUCGGAAAGCCGGUCUCAGUUCGGAUUGGGGUCUGCAACUCGACCUCAUGAAGUCGGAGUCGCUAGUAAUCGCAGAUCAGCAACGCUGCGGUGAAUACGUUCCCGGGGCU
rnacentral:rRNA from 1 species